GUUGCAAGUAGACAAAGAAGUAAAAGUAGCAGCAGCUCGUGUCAAAGUGUAUAACGAUCUUGAAGGCAUCAUUCAAUGCGGUGAUGAAGAAAUAGACUCUAGCACUCACAUUGGCUGUCAAAGGACAGAGCCCACAUUUCGACUAAACCCAGAAGCUGAAUUGUUCUUGCCUCAGCAAGCAUUCUGUGAUAAGCAUGAAGUCCAGCCAUCUCAGGAUAAUGUUGCUCUAGCUCAAGCAAUAGCAGACUCGCUAAGCACACAUCGAUUGCCUGUUCCUGAACCCACAAGCUUUGCUGGCGAUCCUUUGAAAUUCAUAGACUGGAAGAUGUCCUUCAUGGCCCUUAUUGAUCGAAAGCCCCUCCCACCUGGUGAGAAGAUGUUCUAUCUUAAGAAUUACCUCGUUGGAGAAGCUCGCAAAGCGGUGGAGGGAUAUUUCUACAGAAAUUCAGAGGACGCAUACCAAGGUGCCUGGAAAGUCUUGCAAGACAGGUAUGGGAAUUCAUUCAUACUGCAAAAGGCUUUUCGAGACAAGCUGAUGAGAUGGCCCAAAAUUGGGGUAAAUGACCCUCUCGCCCUACGAGACUUCACAGACUCCCUGCAAGGAUGUGUAGAGGCGAUUCCUCAUGUUAAAGGGCUAGCCAUUCUAAAUGACUGUGAAGAAAACCACAAGUUACUAAAGAAACUUCCUGAAUGGAUUGUGCGCAAGUGGAAUCGAAUUGUGGUGGAAAACCUAGACGCAUCAGGGGACUAUCCAAGUUUCAAGCGCUUUACAGAGUUCAUGCAAAAGGAAACCAGAAUAGCAUGUAACCCCAUCACUUCUCCACUCUUCAUGAAUCUGAAAAAUUCAGAUGAAAGGUUUCCCAAGCGAGCUAAGGCUCUGAGUACAAAGGCUGACGUGAAAGAUUUCAGCUCUAAAAGGCUUGAACCAUCCAGCUCUAAGUCAAAGGUAUCAUGCUUCGCCUGUAAAGAUGAAAAACACAGCAUUGCCCAAUGUCCUACAUUUGCAGAAAGAACCACUGAAGACAAGAAGACCUUCAUUCAAGAAAAUCACCUCUGCUUUGGGUGUCUCAGGAAAGGGCAUAUCGUUAAAGAUUGCAAAAGACGGCAUAAAUGUGGAACAUGUGGCCGCAAUCACCCUACCUGCUUGCAUGAAGAAAGAGAUAAAGUGCCUACGAAAGCAUUAAAGAAAACUUCCAUAGAAGUUCAAGCAAGUCAGGAAGUUCACAAAGUCAUGGCCCAUGCACUCACACAAAGUUCUUCUGCUACUUCCAGUAUCGUGCCAGUCCUCAUUUCUACAGAGGAAGAGCCACAGAGAGAAGUACUCACUUAUGCUCUACUGGACACGCAGAGCGACUCAACGUUCAUUUUGGAAGAUCUUCUUGAUGACUUAAAUGCAAUCACUCAACCAGUGCAGCUUAGACUCAGCACCAUGACAGCUGUUGACACCAUCACUGCAAGUAAAAGGGUUCGUGGUCUGCAAGUUCGAGGACUUCAAGCAGCAAACUCUAUUCAUCUACAGCAAGCAUAUACUAGAGACUUCAUUCCUGUUGACAAGUCCUAUAUUCCAACCAAGAGGACAGCACUGCAGUGGCCUCACCUCAAACAUUUGGCCAAUCAAUUGCCACCACUUCAGAACUGUGAAGUCGGACUGUUAAUCGGAUAUGACUGCCCAUCAGCUCUUGCUCCCCUCAAAGUCAUACUAGGUGGUGAAAAUGAACCAUUUGCACAAAGAACUGAGCUUGGCUGGAGUAUUAUAGGCCUCUCCAAUCCACACUUAGACAGACAGGGAAAUCAGAGCUUCGUCCAUAGAGUUGCAGUUAAAGAAAUACCUGUCCCAUCACCCAACGAUGUCUUGAGAAUUCUAGAGUCAGAUUUCAACGAGAAAGGUUAUGAGGAUAAAAGUGUGUCUCAAGAGGAUGUUCGUUUCAUACAGCAUCUCAGUGCCAAUAUCAAACAGAAAAAUAAUGGACAUUAUGAACUUCCUCUCCCUUUCAAGUGUAUCGGCCGACCCUCACUACCAAAUAACAAAAGGCUAGCAGCUGCCCGCUUGCAGCAUUUGAAGAAAAGACUCAAGUCUAACCAGCAAUAUUGUGAUCACUACAAGGCCUUCAUGGAGGAGAUCAUUUACAAAGGUGAUGCUGAACCAGCCCCAGUGAUACCCGAAGGAGAGUCUGUAUGGUAUUCCACACCAUGGGGUGUACCACCCUCAGAAACCAGAUAAGCUGAGGGUUGUGUUCGAUUGUUCAGCUAAGUUUUGCGGUAUAUCUCUAAAUGGCACACUUCUGACCGGGCCUGACCUAAUUAACUCAUUAGUGGGAGUAUUCUGCCGCUUCAGAAAGGAACUAGUCGCAGUCACCUGUGACAUAGAAAAGAUGUUUCACCAGUUCUUCGUCCCUUCAGACGAUCGCAAUUAUCUAAGGUUUCUAUGGUGGGAGGGUGGAGACUUGGAGAAAGAGCCUCAAGACUAUCGUAUGGCAGUUCAUCUCUUCCGCGCUACAUCGUCUCAUGGGUGUGCUAAUUUCGGCCUGAAGUACCUGGCGCAGCAGCAAAAAGUUAAUCACCCAUCAGCAUCAGAGUUUGUUGAAAGGAACUUCUAUGUAGAUGAUGGGUUAACCAGUGUUCGUUCAGUCGAUGAAGCCAAAGAACUGAUCAUUGAUGCUCAAGCGCUGUGUAAACACGGA
rnacentral:lncRNA from 1 species